UGGGGACGGCGGAGGGAUCAUAGGGAACUUGGAGAAGAGGAGAGGGAUAACAGGAAGUGCAGGAAGAGAGGAGGAGCAGAAGUGGAGGAGGAGUGGAAGGAGAAGAGUGACAGAAAGAGAAGAUAGAGGUGAAUGGGUUCCGGAGAAUCAACAAUGGUUGCCCCGGAAGUUAAACAGGCUGUGGACAAACUCAUCAAGUCAAACAAAGUGAUGAUGUUCUCCAAGUCAUCCUGCCCUUAUUGCAGGAUGGCAAAGCAGGUUUUUAACGAGAUUGGGGAGAAUUUUGGCCUUGUAGAGCUAGAUCAGCAUGAAGAUGGGAGCAGCAUGCAGGACUACCUUGGCCAGCUCACUGGUGCGCGGACGGUACCCCGCGUGUUCAUCCGGGGUCAGUGCAUCGGAGGCGGCUCCGAAACGCAGAGUCUGUACCGCAGCGGACAGCUGAAAACCAUGCUAGCCUGAGCCGCUCCUGAAUGUCACGGGACCGCGCAUUGAAGGCUUUCAUGGCCAGCGACGAUCGUGCUCCUACUGCCUUAUGUGCUCGUUGAAUACGUCUAUGUCACAGGUGUGCGUUGGAUGUGUUUUCUUCAUCACUUCUGAAUAUGCACAAACUUAGUUGAUGCUAAACUGUGGCCUUUUGCGCUGAUGAUCUGAUGUGCUUCAGCUCGGUGGAAUGCUAAUGUCGGAAAGAUAUUGCGGCUAGUACUACAGAAGACAUAGAAAAUUCUGCCGGCCAUUCUGAGUCCUGCUGGGGACAUGUCAUGUUCGUUACCAGUUAUCCAUCUAAAUAUAUAAAACGUUAAUUUUC
rnacentral:misc_RNA from 1 species